AUAGUGUAAGCUAUUAAAUUUUGUUGCAGUUGUUGGUUUUUUUGAUAAUUAAAAAGAAAGCUUUCUAUGAAGUUAUUGCUCACAAAGAGUAUUCCCUUUGUUUAGUGACAGUUCUCCCUGUGUUAGUUGAGCUGUAAAAAGAUUUGAUGCUAAUAAUUGGCUAUAUUCCAGCUGAAAUUAUAUUUUGUAAUAAUUUAUUUCAGUUUUAAGAAUGGAAAUACUGUGAUAGUCCACUUUGAAAAGCUUAUGAAGGGUAACUGCAGACAUAAAAGAAAAAAAUACAGAUCAGUGUUAGCAUUUCAGAAGCAUCCUUUAUCCUAGGAAGCCUUUCAUCCCGUUUGUUAUCAAAACAAGUCCAAAAGUCUGAGUAUAAAUAAUGUCUCUUUUUCUAGAAGUUUCAGUAGAUACAGAUUUCCUAAAUCAUAUAGUUUGUUGAGCCAUAUUUAAAAAUUUUGCUAUCUUUUAGUCACAAAAUAUUGCCAGUUCUUAUAAUCCUUGAUUGACAAAUUUGUCUUCUUUAUAUUGUUUGAUGUUUAUUAUGUUCCAAAAGAUCAUUGAGAAAGUCCUCAAUGCUCAAAUCCUAACACUGCUUAUGUAUGUAAUAUAACAAAAUCCUAACGUGUGCCACAUCAGCCAUAUGUGUUUGAAUUACGGGAUCCCUGUUAUCAUCAUUUGUUUGUUAAGGUAAUAUGUGCUAACCUUAAUUUUGAAGAGUAGUACUAUUGAAUGUAUUCUGAGGAUCUUUGAGAGUACUUUGAAGAGGCCACUAUUAGUGGAAUCUGCUAUCCAGUGUAUGCUCCAAGCUUUCUUGUUAUUUUCUCUGUAUUUAUAUAUUAUUAAUAUUGCGUCUUUUAAUCCAUCAAAGGCUUUUUUGACUUCAGCGCACUGGGACAUGCUCACAUCCUACUGCUUUGGUAGCUAUGUGUAGGUAUCUUCUUUUUUUCUAUUUAGUGAUUUAUUUAUCUAUCACAUUUGCAGGUGCGAUUUAACAUGUGAACAGGAACUGGAUAAGGAGAGAAAGAAUGGGAGUGGUAAGAUCUAGGAUAUGGAUUAAAAAAACGUAGCUCUCAUGACUUUGGGGUGUGUUUCUAAUCCUACUAUUGAUUCAACAGCUUGUUUUUCAUUUGUAGGCUUGAUAAAGUCUGAAGCUUAGUGCUUGGAACCUUCAGCUCUGAAAAUCUGGUGCCCUUUGCUGACAGGCAGAUUUUAACAACUUCUGUUAUAUAUCAGCGAGUACUACCAUUUCAGAAAAAUGAGACCAUUUAGAAAUGCAUAACCUUUCUCAGUUCACACUGAUUGAAAUAACCCAAAUUCAGAAACUGCAGAAGAAAGCAGAACAUGAUGAUCAAGUGGAACUUCAGCUAAUUCUCUGGCUUUCUCCCCAGAAAAACAUAUACAUUAAUACAUCAUUAAAAUUAGUUGUCUUCUUACCCUCUGGCAGAGUUUGGAGUUAGAUCUCUUAAGUCAUAUUGUAAAAAGGAAAAAAACCAACAAAAAAUCAUGUAAAACCACCAAGCCAAAAGUCCAAAUAGAUUAAGUAGAUUCAGUACUCUGCACAGUAAUUUGUUCAUGUAACAAUAUAUUCCUUCUCAAAAGACUCGUGGUUCUUAGUUGAUCAGAAAUAUUCAUAAAACUCUCCUCAUAGCAAUUAAUUUGACUAAUAACCUAUACUUGGGCAGCACUAUAAAAACACCCUAAUUGCAAAAAACCAUAGUGAGAACUCACCCAUUAUAUCACUAUGGGGUGGCAAAUUAAGCUGAAUGAAUUAAUCUUGGCACUCUUUGUUCCUCUUUGAACGUGUUAAGUAAACAAAGUUCAAACUGAGGGGAGAACCUGUCUGAUUUAAGCAAGUGUAUUAGGUAUUUGUGAGACAUCACAGGGAAAAAAUAACAAGAAAUGAAAUUCAUGCUACUGAAGUGUGUGGAACCAAAUCUGACUGAGCUGUGGACUUUUGUCUAGGUGAAAAGUUCCUUUUAUUCAUAGAAGAAGGUCAAUGACUAGACAUAAAACUGGACUUCUCAACAUAUGAACAAUUUGCUGUUUUUCAGUAAACAAUAGGCUUCAUGGAACAAAGGAAAACAUAGAGCGGGCAAAGAAUUUCAUAUGUUGUUACAGUCUAAUCUCACUUUCAUGAAUUUAUCUGGAAAUUAAUUUAUUCACUUGGACAUAUCUCUGUUAAACUUGUAUGAAAAUGACCUUGACAAAGCAAAAAAUGAAGCAAGCUGCAGAACAUGAACUGACAACAUUCUUGGGAAACAUUUUUGUCUGUACACAUGGAAUUGUUUAGGCGUCAACGAUAAGAUAGCUGCUUUAAAUUCAGUGUCCAGAUUCUGCUGUGUUACACCCAUGCGAGUCUCAAUUAAAUUGUUUUUCUUUUUUUUUUUUUUUUUUUUUGCUUGAUGGAGCAUGAUUGAAACCAACUUGGUUGGAAACAAUUUGUAAAUCUCUACUUUGUAAUACAGGUAUUUCAAAUGCUGGGACUAUGCAAGUCUAAAUUUAGACAGAGGCUUUUUGCUCCUAAUUUCUCUCUGCUUCUUACUUACAUUCCCCUGCACUUCUCAGCUUCCAAACCUGAAACCAGAUCUGCUGGGAAGUGAGGGACGCUUUGAUCCCCUGCCUCCUGAAACAUCACAGCUACCUGGUAUCCUUAUAUUUCUGUGAAUUAUUUAAACCAUUUUCUCAAAAAAAGAUCUAUUUUGAUGUGGAAAUGUUGCUGUGGUGCUCCAUGGAUGGGAGCGCUCAAUGGCAGAGAAGCUAUCCCGAGGCCCUCCGCUGUAUUCUGCAGCCAGUAUGUCACACUGGUGAUGCUCUGUGACGAAGGGCUCCAGCUGUACCCUGCAGCAGCUCAGCCGCUGGUUUCGUGCAAAUGUCAGGAGAAUAUGAAACCGUGACCUUUCUCACUGUUGUAUUUCACUAAAUUCUAAUGGAAUGAGUGGUGAGUAGGUGGGAGGUGGAUCACUGUUACAAGGAAGAUUCAUCACAUUUUACACAGAAGUUACCUGGAAGAAAAAACAUUUCUUUUGAACCAUUUUAUUAGCGUUUAUUCUUUGAGGCUCAUUCUUGUGUCUUCUUAGCUGCAAAAGAAUGGAAAAACCUGCUUGCUCAUUCGCUCACCUACAAGGUAAUUAAAUCCUAGUUUAGUCAUUGCACUCGGCUGCAGAUGCGCAGGAGUGUGUGGUGGAGCUGUUCACUUAAAUGGCUGUUUUACUGCUGCUUCUUCUCUGGGACCACAGAACCAUAGAAAAUAUUGGGAAGACAGAUUGGAACUCAGAGGCAUCCCAGACCUACUAACAGCAGCACAAUGAAAAUUGGAGACCUUGAAUGAUAAUAAAACAACUGAGUUGGUAAAAACUCAACUGAUGGAUCUCUCAUGUGGAACAUAUUGUGUCUACAAUGUUACAGGUCAUUUCCUUUGCCUUUCACUAUAAACAUGUUUUUCAAAUUGGUUUCAAGUUGGUCCAGCUGCUUCAAGCACGGUAUAUGGAAAGCAUAUUAAUAUGACAGAUAACUAGCAGCUGUUGUUGGAAAAUUGACAAAGCAAAGGGUAGAUGUUGCUUCGGAGGAUGAACUUGUGCUUUUAGGCAAAACAUCUUCCUUGAUAUUUUGCUUCUCUUUGAGUUUUGUCUUACAAGGGCUGGACCAGUGACAUUAAGAGGACACAUUCUUUCCAGAUACAGCUCUAGCAAACGUAGCCAUGCCAUACGCGAAACAGAUAUGUUGAGGGAUUGAUUGUUCGAAGCACUGACUGACAGAGAAAUUGUGUUCUUCAUCUCUUCGCAAUUGCUCUUUCUGUUAAAGAAGUUACUGUCAUCUGUUAACCCUGCCUCUGAUUUAUUCAUACCCAUAGAAGUACUUCUGUAUUGAAGAUCUGGCCAUAGAGGAUGUAGCAAUACAUAUGCUUCUGAUGAAAGGCUGUGUUCCAGAGGUGCCUUUUAAUCUAAUCCAUUUAACCAUGUGCUGCCUUCUAUCUCUUCAAUUCAGACUUUGUUUUAAAACUUAUUUUUUUCUCUAAAUGCAGUUUGGUUGAAACACAGCAAAGCACUUUUUAUGACUGAAAGAAAUAUAAUUCUCCUUUCUAAUCCUGUUUUUCUUUCUUCUUUUGUCUCAAGCUCUGUGUGCUUGGGCUAAGAAGGAGAGAAAAGCACCACAAUCCAUUUAACUGGCAACAUUACAUUUUUAUUUUGUAUUUAAAUCUAUCAAGACUCAUACUGCUUCAAGUUUAUUGUUGUUAUUACCCUACAAGUUUCACACAAUUCACAUUGCCUAUAGCUGUCAAAUACCAUACAGCUUCCUAAAUAGAGAGAAUAAACAUACAUGUACUUUGAUCUACUUCACUGCUUCAAAGUUUAAAAUGCACUGAGAGCUUUUCAUGGGAUUUCAAAAAACAGUUACUGAGAGGAGUAAUUAUGAAAGGAGUAAUUUUCUCGCUGAUGUUAUUUUUCUAUAAUUGAGAGUUAGGCAGUUAGAGCAUUAUGUUUCUCCCCCCCCCCCCCCAGUGUAAUAUACAUGGACUUUUGAUUUAUACAACUUUUCUUUUAUAAUUCACUCUGCCCUGAGGAACUGCAGCGAGGCAGAAGGCUAGAAGACUAGAAGAAUGCAGACAAACUAUGGAAGCAUCUAUAAGUAACCUGACAAGCACAAAGCAUUAAAAAAAUACAGAAAAAUCUGCAUUUCAAAUAAACUUGCAUCAGGAGUUCUUAAGCUUGUUUCUGGCCUAGACCACAUCGUUAGAGAAAGAUUGCCUUAUGUAGUCUGUUUAUGCCCAUUCCGAAAUUGUGCUGACCUUCAUUCCUUUCAUAAUUUUCUAGCAUUACAGCAGCAAUUACUUAUAUGGAAAAAGGGUUUAAUGCACAUUAUACUUCUUUUUAUGCAGUUUAGCAUCUGGAAACUUGGAGGAAAGAGUCUGUUUCCUAGGGACCACAUAUUGCGAAGUGCUGACUUAGGCCACAAUCCCAUGCAGUAACAAGGAUGCGAAUGUACAGAGCUCUUUGCAGAUCAUUACAGAGGGCUAUGUAAUGUUACAAGUUGAUUUUGUAAAGUUGCUUAAUACUAUUUCAAGUACUUAUUUGCGGGUUUUUUUCCCAUUUGUCCCAGAUUGCACAUUAAUAAAAUAUCUAGUUAAGGUUUAUACCUCCUUAGGAAAAAUGUAAUCCUGUUAUGAAUUAGCUUCAUGCUGAGCAAAAAGAAAAGAAAAAGAAAAUAUUGUUUGCUUAAAAAGAAAAAUUGAUGUUCUCCAAAGAACAGAAGUGAAACUUCUUAUUUACUUUUUUUUUUUCCUCUUAGGUCCUCUCAUGUCUUGUUUCAACUAAAUUCUGAAAGAACUAAAUUAUUUCACAUUGUUGUUUUUAACUCUUGUAUGGUUCCUUAAAGGAUAAUUUCUGAUUUGUUUGCCAGUUAGACCAAGUUUUUAAGACUGGAGGAGAGAAGGGAGUUCUAUGUUACAUUUAGGGUCAAAUAGUUUGUAAUCUAAGAACAUUCCUCAUUGCAAAUCCGCAAGUUUUGAAGAGUUUUAUACUUUUUGCAGGUUUCUAGCAUCAACGUUUCCAAGGUUUUACAAACUCUGCAGGAAAAACGAUGAAACUUGUAAAGCACAUUUGUUCACAAUACAAACAGUUCAUCAUAAGCAUGUCACUGAGGCUCAUGCCUCUGUCAGAAUGCACAAAUAACAGCAUAAAGCAGAGUCUCUCCUUCCAUCUUUGAACCCUGUAUCCCGCUCUAUCAGAUUUUGUAAGCUGUUUGGUGAGUGAGACUGCAAGUUCUGAAAGAGUCGAAGGUAGUUCAAGAGUAUAGAUCUUAAUGAUUUGCUGUGAAACACCACCUAUUAGAGGAGUACCAUCCCAAGGGACAAGGAGCCUAAACCCAUCUCAAAUUGUGCUGACACUCUGCUAAGGCCUUUUCUAAUUGCUUCAACCUUAUCACAGGCUGUAUUUGUCUGCCGUAAAUUACUGUUGUCAGUAUCAUGAACUGUGCCCUUAGCACAAGGCCAAUGCUGUUUCUAAUGUCUGGCAGUGAAUUUGCCUGCUGGUAUGAACAGCAGCAAGAAUGGAGAAAUCUGAAGCUGAUGUCUAAUUAGUGAAUUAUUUCAUCAGUUUGCCCUCUGCCUCAAAAGUAGCCUCUAAAACCAAUAGAAAGUUUCCCACUACUUGGCUAGUCCAUCACUUUGACCCAAAGCUGGAUAACCUGUGUCACUCCUCACAGAUGUCCGAAGUACCUGUUCUUAAAACUUUCCAGUGCCAAAGUUUCCUUUCAUAGGUGUGGCAAAAAGAAAUCAUAACUUGCCUGUAAAAAGCUGUUUAAAAAUGGAUAAAAUCGGUUGAACUUCGAAACAAAGAAACCAGUGGUUUCUAGACUGGUGUCUAGGCUAACAAGCCGAGAAGAAAAUGGAAAAGGAGUGCAGCUACAAGUUCAGGGCUGUAAACUCCCCGUUUGACCCAUCUCCUAAAGAUCUUUAUCACUAGGCCAAUCCAGACUGUGCUGCACAUCUCUUCCCUGCCUGUUUUUUUGAUGUUUGCCAGGUGGGCUGUUGAGGUUUGGAAGAAACUUCUUGUUUAAUCUUAAAUCACCUGAAACCUCCAGCUAAAUUCAGACUAGCCCCCAGGUGAGAAUGAAUCUUAAAAAGCAGUCAGGUGCUAAAAUGUGACUGAAAUGACUUUGGCGACUCUAACCACAGCAUUCCCCCAUUAUGAAUUCUGAAGCGUGAUUUAUGUUGGAUGCAACACUUGUGUGGAAAGCUUUUGUAUCCUGGUCUCCCCUACAGCCAGCUCGCAGACCUGGAGACCACCACCAGAGUAAUUUCCAACCUUUCAGCUUUUUUCUUUCAGGAUUGGGCGCAGUGAGGGGCACCAGGGUCAGACACAGCCUAGGAUGGCCAGGCAGGACCAGGGAGAUGGGUACAGGCUGGGGCCCAGUGUUACUGGGGUUGGGACAGAGGUGAAAUGGGGUCCUGGUGCAAGGGUAAGGUGAGGAGGUCUCAGGUGGAACUUGUCAGGGUCAUUAAGGCCCAUAAGUGCCAUCAGGAAGAGCAGGUUGUUUCCUCAGAAGCUAGGCUGCAGCUUGGUCAUCACAGACGUGUCAGGAGCUGCGUGGGAGAGCUCGGAACCCAGGCUGCCUUCCCUCCCUCCUCUGGAGCGGGGUGCCCCUGCAUGGGCUGAGGUCUCUACGACCCCUGUACUGGACAGAAAACCAACUCUUAGUGCUUGGAGGAGUGAAAGACUGGUGUAACUGCCUUCCUCUUUGGUUGGGGGCUUUGCCAGCUGCUGGCCGGCGAGAGGACAGUGCUGCUUUCUGAGGUAGGCUGAUGGUUUGGUGGGCUUUGGCGCAACAGAAUACCAAAGAGCUUCUUGGUCUUUGUGUUAGCUGAUAAAAGAAGUGAACAGUCUCAUUUCAUGUUUUAUUGGUCAGUGUAAUGAUGAAAGUAUAGAGGUGCUAUUUGUGAGCUGUGUCUGGUGCAGGGAACGUGCUCUCCGCCACCGGCGGAGUCACACUGUAGCUGGGUUUGUCCGUGCAUCUGUAAGAAUUUAAACGGUGAGGAUUAUGCUCGUUGCGCCAGGAAAGCAAGUACACGGCCAAAUCCUGAUCUCAGUUGCACGUGUGCAGCUCCCAAGGCAGUAGGGUUGCAUUCUGGCUCGGCACAUGGCCUAAUGAGGUCUUGCAUGAGUGCAAAUAACAUGGAUGGCACACGGGAGAGCAAGCGAACAACUGUUCCUUGUUUUGCUGUGUUCUCUGCUCUGCAGCAUCUGGUUUGCUUCAUCAUUUUUUAAAAGCAAACCACAAAUAUUUUUCACUAGGGAACUGAGAAAUAACAGUGUACAUUUUUUAAAAAGGUUUAGAGGGGAUAAAAGUGAUUUUUCUGGUGUGUAAAGUGCUUAUGUUUGGAUUUGAGCAUUAAUUCACAGAUUGUCUCUUAUUGUUUUGUUCCCAGCUUGGGAAAUCCUAUGGGGUGUUCUCCCUCAGGAAAUCACAUGGGGCGAUGUCUUAGCUUGAUUUAUUUUUAUUUGUGUAUCUAACUUUGCACAGAAUUGUCUUUCACAGCAGCAUUUUUUUAUGGAGAUUUGUAUUUCUUGUAAAAUUCAGCAAACUGGGGACUUUUUAACAAUUUAUCAAUGGAACUUCAAAUGAAAUUCAUUGUGACUUUGUAGAUCCGCUUGAUACUGGUUUGGUGGGAGUGAUGUAGUAAACUAAGUAGCUAUUUUAAAGGGCUGUGGUCAGAAGACUAUAUUAUGUUUUUCAGUCUUAAAACAGCUGCUUGAGAGAAAUGUAUUCUGGCAAAUAGCAGACUACAUGGAUAGAUGGAGGCAGGGUUAGCCUUGACACUAGUCUUAGUCCUUCUCUAAUACUUGUAUUUCUGUAGUACUUUCUGUCAUUGCUUCUAAAUCUUUUUUAUAUAUACAGUUUUCUAAUGGCUCAAGUACAUACUGUGAAAUCAUGACAAUUAUGUGAAAAUUAUGAAAAUUUGUGAAAUUAUAGGGUUGGGAAGGGGACCUUUCUAAGUUUGCUGAAAUAAUGUGAUUCAAUCUUAGAAUGGUUUCUGUUAAAAGGGGCCAGGAAGGUCAUCUAGUCCAAGCCCCUGUCAAAGCUAAGAUUCUAGUAACUUUAGAGGAUACCAAGAUAGAAGGUCUUGUUUGGGUUCCUGCUGUGAAGAAUUGUAGAAGUUCUCUGUUCUAUGCAAGCUUUUCUGUAUGACCUUUAAAAAGAAAAACCUUUUAUGUUCUAUGCUUGAGUAGCAGUAAUUUUUAGACUAUGAGAAAGGCGUAUCUUUGUUUACAUCAUGGUAAAAUAUUGCUGAAGUGCUUGAAAGGCUUCAUGUAGGCUUUAUUACAAAGCUAGUUUUUCUUUUUAUAACACUUAUCUUUCUGUUAAUGUUUCUGAGUGUAUAUAUUAAAUCUGUUUCACAACUUUUUCUCCAAUAAUUCUUUCACUAUAAUUGGAUUGCAUAUUUUCCACUGUUGUGCAGUAUAAUCUAAGUAUUGGGUACUGAAAUGUAUAUUACUACUUUCAAGACUUUGAUUGUGUCACAAGAAUUAAUUAGAAUUAUAAAUUAUUACAUAAGUCUCCUGUUCUACAGUGGGAGCUUUAGUGAAAUACUGGCACUGGAUAAUUAGCUGCUCUGAUCUGUGAUUUUGGCUUUGAAUAGCCCAAAGAAGUUUUGAUGUUUCCUUUCCUGAAAUAAACAAAACAAGCUUACAAACUGUCAGAAAAUAACAGUAGUUCUUAAAAGCUAAUCAUUACCAGCCUUUGUCAUGGGAUUGUAAUUGUUUCAUGAAUUCUGCUUCAAUCAGGAAAAAAUACGCUUAAGUGCUAAUAAAAGUUUUUAUGCUGCUAUGAUUUCCUUCUGCCUCAUCUUCCUCCUGUCAAUUUAUGGCUUUAUUCCACUGUCUCUCUGUUACUAAGCAACACUGUACAUGGUUUUAAUGCAAAUGACUUCAAACUCUCCGAUAGUGAGGCAGAAUAACAUCAGGUUAAUUUCCCGAUUAAUGCAUGCUACAAAGAAGUGCUGUCCACCAAGAAAUCCCAAAUGAUGAUGGCUGGGAAGCUGCUUCAUGGCAUAAGGAAACGAAAUAUUUAAUUUUGGGUACUUUUUAGAUUGUCUUGUCUGUACUUAAACCCACUUGUCUAAGCAGAUGGAUCAAAGGCUUGGUUCUAUUAUAUUGACUUGAUCUGCUCUGUGUUGAGCCACCGAUUGUACAGUGUACGUACCAUGAUGAUUCACGUAGUUUUCUGUGGCUGCAUGCUCUAUUUUCAUCCCUAUACAAGAGGAGAUAAAAUGAUUGUUCAGAUACUAUUUUUGCUCCAUUUCGAAAGUUAGUGGUAACCUGUGAGACGGUUUAGAACUGAAUGUUGUAUUUUCAUUCAAGCCAGUAGUGAAAUUCCAGCUGACAUCAGCAUGAACACAAUUCAACCAGUGUUGGUGCUUGUUUGAUAAAUUUCUCUUGGGUGCCACAGUGCCACUCUUUGUAUUUUAAAGCUGUGCAUUGCAGGCGAUUACAUAUUUCUCUUUUUUUCCAUUAUCUUAAAAAUCUCAUUUAUUAGGCUACCAAUUGGUAUCUUGUCCACACAGCAAUACCCUUUUAGAUGGAAAUAAAACAGAUUUCAGUACUGCACUAGAGAGAUCUUAGGAGCGGUGUGUUGUUUGCUCACAGGAGCAGCUGUGACUGGUUUAUGGCCAGUGUUUGCAGAACUUCUUUGACUUUACUUCUCUAAAUCAAUAGCAAUGCCUGCCAUUACAAGGUGGAAUUUGGAAAUCUAAAUGUCAAAGGGUUUGAAGUGUACUUAAGUGCAUAUUUGCAGCUUUGAUCCUGUAACGCCUGAAGAUUUAUACCUUUCAAACAGCCUGAGGUAAUACUGAGCCUCGUGACAACUUCUGCCUUUUACACAGGCUUUUAGUUUGAAAUCUACCCAUAUUAAAUGUAGAGAAAGUAGUAGUAUAUAAUGCAGCUCUAGGAACAACAUCUGCAUUGACCCAUCUUCAAAUGUUUCUUGUUCUGUGUAUUUUUGUUGGUGUUUUUUUUUCCCCUCUGUUUAAAAAUAAUUUUAUCUCCUGUUACUUAGAGGCCCUCUGAAGGAGAAAGAAAUACUGAAAUGACUGCCAGCAAAAUACUCUUGAAUGCACAGUCAGCAAAAUGAAUGAAAACUAGUUUAAAUUUAAAAAUGGUUAAAUGGUGAUUCAAAACUUGUGCAUAGGAAUGGUUGUUUUCAUUUGGUAGAGACCUCCUGAGAGAAUUGCACUUGUGAACGUGCACACAGAAGUGCUUUUGGUAAAUCAAACAAUUCUCAAAUUUAAAGCGUAUGGAGAAAGUCUUAGAUUCCUUUGUUUUCUGUGAAAACACACUUUUAAAAACAAUGUAGAAUUAACACAGUUAUGGACCACAUCCUUAGUACUGCCCAUGUGUUUUUCUCUAUAGUUAUAGUGAUCUUAACAGCUAUGCAUGAAAUACUUUCUGUGGGUUGGGAGAAGAAUAUAUGGUAGAAAACCCCAAAAGUUAAAUGCAGACAUGAUUAACUAAAUAGAAGGCUUUUCCAAAUAAAAACAAGCCAUUGUGUAUUUUAGUGCAUAUUUGCAGUUUGUUGGAGUGCAGGAGUGGCAUGCGGGUGAUAUGUGCUGGAUGGCAGUCAGCGUUAUAUAUCAUUAGUAAAUGUAACACUGCAGGCAUUGCAGGUAUUUAAUUGUAGCUGAAAUUUAAGGAUGUCCCCAUGUACAGUAUUUUUUUUUCAGGAUGCCGUUGCUUCCGUGGCUGUAUCUGGCUGGAGGGGUAAAUCUUAUCUGCAGUAAGUGAAAUUGGAUUCUGUUAGUGUGCACUGAGCACACUAAUACUGUGCAAGUUUGAAUAUUGGUGGUGAUAUUCUGCUUAUAGCUGGCAAUUAUGGAGCUUUGGUGUUGAUCAGCUUCUCCUGUGAUAUGGGCAGAUCACAAAUCAAAUGAUAUUGCAGGAGAGAGGUAGUCAUGUUCUGUCAUGGAAUAAUUUUGUCAAAAUAUUUGAAUUAAAUUGGCAGAAAAUUUAGCCUUUAAAGAGCUCCAAGAGAAGCAGCGAAGUGUAAGGAAAAAACUAUCUUGCACAUAAAUUUUGUAGACUACUUUUGGGCUGGAGGUAAGAGGUCAAAACUGGAAUAUAUCUCUACAUAUUUGUUUGUUUUUAAAAUGUACUGUAUACUUUUCUGGUGUCUUGAUGGUGAUUCACUUCCCCGUUUAAAUCCAAUGCAUACUUGUGGGUCGCAGGAAUGAAUAUUGAUAUAUUGGUAGUGAUCUGUCAAGGUCUUGAAACAUAUUUGAUGUGCACAUUAGCUGCAAGUCCCACAAGAAAACAGAAGAUAGAUGCUUAAGAGACGCUAGGUAAAACAUUUAUCGGAGUAUAUUACUUGGUAGAAUAUUAACUAGACUUGAUCAAUAAGUACAAUGUAUUUUUCCAAUAAAGAUUUAAAGUUUUCUUUAAUCGGAAACUGAGUCACAAACAUUGUUGAUCAAAACAAAAUUACAUACGACUUCAGAAUUUCUGGGGUAUAAGCUGUACAGAUAAUGUACAUUUUCAUUUAGAAUCCAGUGUUCUCAUCAGAGACUGUACUUUGCUCUGCUACCUGUGCUGGGUGCCAAAGCUAAAAACAUAGCCACUCGUUGGUUUGAGAAACAAAAUGGGCACAACAAUCUAACCAUAUGGUAUGAAGAUUAAGUUAAACAAACACUUAUUUAAAGUUACUUCAGAUCAUUUAAUAUUUUCGAUAUUUCAAAAUACAAUCAGUCUGAUGUAGAUGUUUCUGUGAAAAAUGCUUACUUUUUGCACACUUAGAGAGAAACCUGUCUAAAAUGUGACAACUCUUUCUGAAACAGAGCAGUGCAUCUCUACGGUCUACUCUUGUGUAAAAAUUACAGAUGACAACAUAGAAAGCUAUCGGAGAUCAGCAGAGAACAAGUUUUGCUGGAUUUAACAUGUAUACUAUAAUCUAGUAUAUAAUGUAAAGUAUGCUUUCCUGCAUGCUGCUUUAAUAUCUAAUCAUAUCACAAAAUCCAGGUUCAACAUUUACUCUUUAGUAGGUGAAAUUACAUCUCAUGUACAUUUAUUUGUGACCUGUCUUUGAAAGUUAUCCUUCAAAUCAUAGACAUUCCCUCAGUUUAUAGGUUCUCCUAUACAAAAAUGGGCUUUGGGUCUGCAGAUUUUUAUCACGGUUGGACCUUUUUUUACAGUGCAAAACUGAAUCUUACGAAAGCUUGAAAAAAGCUAUUAAUGUAAUAAAAAGUUGUGAAAACAAACUUCAGUUUUAGACAUUUCAGUAUUUCAUAGCUGGUCAGCACAAUUAAAUAUACAUAGCAUUGCUAUAACAUAUGCUAUAUUUUUGUGAAAUUAUACUUUUGGCUUGGUUUGGGGAUUGGUGUAUUCAUGUAUUGUCUGAUAAACUAAACAGGAGUAGUUCAGACUGGGUAGGCAAAGCUCACGUAAGUCUAUGCAGCAUGUGGUCGUCCUUUCCUGGGCAUAUAAUUAUCUGAUGGGUUUCUAAUGCAUGAUUUAACUUUUUUUAAUUGGAGCAAAUUCAGUAGUGGCAAAUUGGCUGCUAAUAAUUUCUACUCGUCCAUUUACUAAAACAUUUCUGGUUAUUUAUUUACUUUUAUAAAAAGAUCCGAGAUUGCACAUAUGCUUGAGAGCAUUAGUGACACAUCAAAUUUUUUACUCUUUUUGCUUUAUUUUCAGUAGGAGAGAAGCUCUUCAGCUUACUCUGGUUAAAAAGCAAUCUAUUUUUUUAUUUAAUGCAGAGUGAAAUACAUUUGCAGUUUUUUAUUUAUUCAGCAACAGUCUCUGCUCUCCACCGUAUUCUAACAAUUUUUUCACCCUCUGAUUAGGCUGUAAAGCUUCAAGGGAUUGUAUGCGUCUCCAUAGGUACACCAUCUCCUGCACCAGGGCCUGUGCUUGACUGUAGCAUCAAAGCACUACCAAUAUAUAAAGCUGAGGAAUAAUUAAAAUACAUAGAAAAUAAGUAAGUUAUUCAGUAAAUAAGCUCUAAGAAUUUCAUAGGCCCAGCCUUUAAAUGUUUUUCACUUUUUUCCAGUGUGUAACACUAUAAAACAGAGUGGGGUUUACUAGGGAUAUACAAGAUUAAAUUCAGUUUUAUUUUCACAGAAAUUUGAAAUGGGAAAAUGUGAUCCAGUCUUUUGGCAAAAAAAAGCGUACUAAUCCUCUGUUAUUAUGCUGGAACCUGAUCCUGUUUCCACUGAAGCCACUGCACAAUGCGGCACUGCUUGGAAACACUAAAGCUUAUUUAGAAUAAGUAGAUAUAUUUACAUUGAAUACUCAGCUACAGGCAAGGCUGAGUAUGGCUUUUCAGGGCCAUUAUUCAUAAUGUAAUGUGAUCCUGUAUUUGGCACUAUUCUUGGUAAAUCUGUCCCUAUAAUUUAAUUUAACUUCUAAAACGUUAAGCCUAAAUUCUGCUUUAAAAUCUAUCCUGUAUAUAUGAAAAUUAGCAAUUUUUUAAGUACCCACCCCAAGGAAACUUUAUUAGCUCAGCCAGUUCUGGGAAACAAAUUACUGAACUGCUGUACUACAUGUGAUUUUGGAGCAAGGUGGAUAUCCUUUCCACUAUUUGAGAUGAACAGACUGUUACUGCAACCUAAAGUUUAGGGAGAGCUGGGUUAGAUUUAGGAUUGAAAGGAAUGAGGAAUGGUGGUAUAAAUGUUACAGCAUUAAAUAGAAAUACUUUGGUAAGGAUGAUAUUGCCUAAGGUACAUAUCUAUAGAUAUCCUGAUAAUAACGUAGUACUUACAGUAAUACAGAAGUGUAUCUCUUUGCUUGGAUGGAUUAAUACAGCAGUGGAGAUGACUUUCACAAAGACAUUGAUUGAUGUAUAUAGUUUCAGUAAUACUUCAGAGAAUAAAUUCUUACACGACAGUAGUAAACUUCUAUAAUAUAAAACUAAUUCUAUUGAAAUAGAAAACAUUGACAUCCACCACUUCACAACUGCACAGAAAUAUUUAAAAGAAAAUCAUAUCUAGUUCUUGCUACUUAAUUGACCAAGUACUUUUAAAGCUUCAGACCAUGGCACUAGUCCAAAAAGAUCACACAGUGCUGUUGUCAAACGCACCCUGUAUCUAUUUUUUGAGUUUCUAGACACAUCUGCAGAACUCA